rnacentral:tRNA from 1 species
GCCUUUGUGGCUCAAUGGUCGAGCUUCCGACUUCUAAUCGGAGGGUUGCGGGUUCGAGUCCCGCCAAAGGUA